GAAAAGGAGCUUGCUCCUUUGACGUUAGCGGCGGACGGGUGAGUAACACGUGGGCAACCUACCCUAUAGUUUGGGAUAACUCCGGGAAACCGGGGCUAAUACCGAAUAAUCUCUUUUGCUUCAUGGUAAAAGACUGAAAGACGGUUUCGGCUGUCGCUAUAGGAUGGGCCCGCGGCGCAUUAGCUAGUUGGUGAGGUAACGGCUCACCAAGGCGACGAUGCGUAGCCGACCUGAGAGGGUGAUCGGCCACACUGG
rnacentral:rRNA from 1 species